rnacentral:lncRNA from 1 species
CCACCAUGGAGAUGAGGUGGGAGCGAGCCAGCUCACUCUAUGUUCCCAGACCUCCUCUGGAAAGCACCCAUGGAGUGUUACAGAAACCAAGAUGUGAAUGGAGUGGCCCCACCCCAUCUCCUCAUAGCCAAACCCUGGCCUGCAAAAUGCAAAACUCUCUGUUCACAAAUAGUCACUCAAGAGUCCUUCCCAGGACCUUCCACACCUGGGUACCGUGGUGAACACACAGUGUUGAUGAAGACCAUGAUCAGUAUGGAGCUGGCCUCAGGGCAUCCUUCUGCUGUCUCAUGGCUCCAGAGUGGACGAUGGGUCUGGGGUCUCCACAGAAGCCUGCUCAGCAAUAUUUUGGUGGAUCAGGAGGAAGAGGCACAUUGUGAGACAGGGGCAGGCUUUUUGCUGAAAGGUGAUGAGGCCAGGCAGCCUGUAAUCCCAGCUAACCAAGAGGCUUCCCAGGAGGGCCAUAGACUCAUUAGUGCUACAAACGGACUUUAAGGCUAGCUGGGUAACUUUGCAAGAUCCUGUCUCAAAAUACAAAAAGCAAGCUAGGGGUGCUAGAGAGAUGGCUCAGUGGUUAAGAACACUUAUUUUUGCUGAGGACCCAGAUUCAAUUCCCAGUACCCACAUGGUGGCUCACAACCAUCCCCAACUCCAGUUCUAGGGGAUCUGACACCCUCUUCUGGCCUCUGUACCAGGAACAUAUGUGGUGCACAGAUGUACAUAUAAGCAAAACACUCACACACAUUAAAUAAAUAAAUCUGUUUUUAAAAAGCAAA